rnacentral:misc_RNA from 1 species
CGUAGGUGAACCUGCGGAAGGAUCAUUACAGAGUUCAUGCCCUCACGGGUAGAUCUCCCACCCUUGAAUAUUUAUACCUUAGUUGCUUUGGCAGGCCGUGGAAACACCAUGGGCUCCGGCUUAUGCGUGCCUGCCAGAGGAAACAAGCUCUGUUUUUAGUGAUGUCUGAGUACUAUAUAAUAGUUAAAACUUUCAACAACGGAUCUCUUGGUUCUG